UAAGCGGAGGAAAAGAAACUAACAAGGAUUCCCCUAGUAACGGCGAGUGAACCGGGAAGAGCUCAAAUUUGAAAUCUGGCGUCCUCAGGGCGUCCGAGUUGUAAUCUAUAGAGGCGUUUUCCGUGCCGGACCGUGUCCAAGUCCCUUGGAACAGGGUAUCAAAGAGGGUGACAAUCCCGUACUUGACACGACUACCGGUGCUCUGUGAUACGUCUUCUACGAGUCGAGUUGUUUGGGAAUGCAGCUCAAAAUGGGUGGUGAGUUCCAUCUAAAGCUAAAUAUUGGCGAGAGACCGAUAGCGAACAAGUACCGUGAGGGAAAGAUGAAAAGCACUUUGGAAAGAGAGUUAAACAGUACGUGAAAUUGUUGAAAGGGAAACGAUUGAAGUCAGUCGUGACCGAGAGGCUCAGCCGGCUCUGCCGGUGUAUUCCCCUCGGUCGGGUCAACAUCAGUUUUGUCCGGUGGAUAAGGGCGGCAGGAAUGUGGCACCCUCGGGUGUGUUAUAGCCUGCUGUCGCAUACACCGGGUGAGACUGAGGAACGCAGCUCGCCUUUAUGGCCGGGGCCCGCCCACGUACGAGCUUAGGAUGUUGACGUAAUGGCUUUAAACGACCCGUCUUGAAACACG
rnacentral:rRNA from 1 species